AAGACAAUGAACAGCAAACUGUUGGAACAAACGAAACAGACAGUUAUAGACCAACGUCUAGAAAACUUGUGCCAGUCAAGUCAACCAAAAGUGGUCGAAUUGUUAAAAUUCCUAGUAGAACUUUAAAAGGAAGGAUGUGCUAUAGACUAUAUAUAUAUAUAAUAUACAGGACUGCCAACUGUGCGCACCACGCCUAUAUUUUUCAAUUAAAUAAGUCCCGUACACCGAGGCGUCCUUUGUUGCAGCCCAGUUGCAGGGUAGUGUUAGUAGAAUGACUUCCGGUGAAUUAGUUUACAAUAUAAAGAAGCCAUCACUAAAUAUUUUAAUCACCACUUUUACACCAAAUGAUAAAUGGAAACUCAAUUGUCAUCGAAGAUUUUUCAGAGUGUUUCAGAUAAUGAAUUUUGAUAAUUUUGUUGUCAAAAUGUUUCAUCUAUGAUAGGAGCUAGGUAAGUAAGUUUUUUUAUAUUAUUAAACUAAUAGUUUUUAAAAAAUAUUAAUCAGAAUAAUGUUUUGGUGACCCCAAAUUUGGUACACAUGCACAAAUAAGAUUACCAGACACUGAUAACACAAGAACACUUUUGUUUCCUUGGCAAUUAAAUCAUUGAAUACAAAGUAACUUCACAUGUAAUAUUUAGUUUUCUAUUGUUAUAUUUAGUUAAUGUAAACAUUUCAACAUUGAUAAAAAGAUAUAUUAUUAAACAAGAUUGCAAUUAGGCUUUAACACUAUUCUGCAUUUUCUUUCCAUGGUCCUUGCCAAUAUAUUGAAACUCCAUGAGUUGAGUAGAUCUGAUGGAAAGUUUUUUAACCCAGCUCAGCCUAAAGCCAAAAACAAAAAACAGUAUAUCCUGAACUACUGUUUGCUGCUGCUGCACUCACCUCCAUUUAUAAGCAGGAUUUCAAAGGUUUGUGAAUUGUUUGGCAACUGCAUUGUCAAGAACUCAGCCUUACAAUUAGUCUCACCAAAACUAAAUUUCUAUCACAGAAAUACAAGAGUUAAGCAUUAAAAAUCACACCCUUACAGUGCUGCAAGAAUUUACCUACAUGGGAUCAAUUUUUGUUAGAAAACAAAAAUAUAGACAACAAAGUAACAAAACGGAUUGAAAAGGCCUCUGCAGCCAUAAUGAAACUCUCUAAAGUCAAAAUAUAUCAAAUUGACCAGGCAAUCAAAAUUCUAGUCUACAAUGCCUGUGCAUUAAACAAUCUGCAUAUAGAAGUGAAAUAAUGUCUCCAAACUGUUUUAAGUAGGAAACUUUGAAAUAGGCCAAUACACAAGUGAAGACUAUGUUGGCUUGGACAUGUCACCCGUUAGUUUGGGACUUGGACAUGUCACCCACAUGCCAGACAAAAACCAGACACAAGAAGGACAUCCAAGACUAACCUAAGGAGAUGUCCGCAAGAAGAAUCUUUAGACUACAGUUAUCAGACAAUGAAAGGCAUGGAGACAGUUUGCCUUCUGGAACGACCUUUGCAGAAAGCAAAAGAGCUGUGGUGGCCAUAGACGAGAAAGAGGAAGACAGCUUCUCAAUUCAUCAAGGUGCAUCCAUAGUCUUUUGAGACACAAGUAGCUUUAUAAUCUGUUACAAUUACACCUAAGUAUUUAGAAUGCAGUUGUACAGAUGUUCUUGUUUUUUUUUGUGUUUUUUUUUCAAACUAGUUAUUCCAUAACAAUUCAAACAUUCACUUAUCUAAUAUAUAAAGCAAAUUGUAAGGAGCAUGUAUGCAUGUCCCAAAUAAAAAUCAAAACCGUUUGACCAAUCUUGGCAUUUACUUCGCAUAAAUGAUCCUUAGAUCAUGGCGGGGACCGUAGUGUAUGUUUAAUGUCUCUCCCACAACCUGAGGGCGAAGCAGGAAAUUUUGGUGCAGCUGUUUUGGUGUGACUGUUAAUAUCAUGGUCCCAAGUAAAGAUCCGACCUUUCAUACUUUCUAUGUUUCAUGCUUUAAAUGUUCCCUCAGAAUUAAGGAUUAUAACAUUCUAAUACAAACCUGCCACAGGAUGGUUGAGGAUUGCGGCGAGAAGGGUUUGAACCCGGGACUUUCAAGAUCACGCAUCUAGAGACAAUACCUUACGACCAGGAAGCCAUCCAUAGUUCACAAUAUGUCAAUCAAUCAAUGUGACUAACCAUUUAAUGGU
rnacentral:sRNA from 1 species